UCCUAAUCUAACUCAUCUUCAUGCCUCUUCUCAAAAUGGAUCUGCCUUUCUUCAACCUUGAGAUCCACCACCUUCUUCUUUGGAUCUAGCAGGGAUGUAGAUAGAAGAAGCUUGGACCCAUGAAGAUAUUGGUAGCUGCUUUACACUCAGGUUUUAGAAGUUCAAAUCCAUCAACAUAUCCUCCCAUAAUGCUGAGAGUCCAUUUUUUUGGUUGUAGUAGACUAGGCUUGCAACAUGCUUUCCUUUUGCUAUUUUUAUUCCCUGUAAAUAUUAUGCAUGUAAACUUUGUUGCCUAAGAUUUAUCUUGCCCUUUAACUGCAUAUGGAUGUAAUUCUCAAAUUGGGGCACUGUCAUUUAUCACUAUUAAGAAUUGCUUUUCCUUUA